UGGGGAAUUUUGGACAAUGGGCGAAAGCCUGAUCCAGCAAUGCCGCGUGUGUGAAGAAGGCCUUCGGGUUGUAAAGCACUUUUGUCCGGAAAGAAAUCCUUGGCUCUAAUACAGUCGGGGGAUGACGGUACCGGAAGAAUAAGCACCGGCUAACUACGUGCCAGCAGCCGCGGUAAUACGUAGGGUGCAAGCGUUAAUCGGAAUUACUGGGCGUAAAGCGUGCGCAGGCGGUUUGCUAAGACCGAUGUGAAAUCCCCGGGCUCAACCUGGGAACUGCAUUGGUGACUGGCAGGCUAGAGUANGGCAGAGGGGGGUAGAAUUCCACGUGUAGCAGUGAAAUGCGUAGAGAUGUGGAGGAAUACCGAUGGCGAAGGCAGCCCCCUGGGCCAAUACUGACGCUCAUGCACGAAAGCGUGGGGAGCAAACAGGAUUAGAUACCCUGGUAGUCCACGCCCUAAACGAUGUCAACUAGUUGUGGGGAUUCAUUUCCUUAGUAACGUAGCUAACGCGUGAAGUUGACCGCCUGGGGAGUACGGUCGCAAGAUUAAAACUUAAAUGAAUUGACGGGGUCAUAGCUGUUUCCU
rnacentral:rRNA from 1 species